rnacentral:rRNA from 1 species
AUUGAACGCUGGCGGCAGGCUUAACACAUGCAAGUCGAGCGGGGUGAUGGUGCUUGCACUAUCACUUAGCGGCGGACGGGUGAGUAAUGCUUAGGAAUCUGCCUAUUAGUGGGGGACAACAUCUCGAAAGGGAUGCUAAUACCGCAUACGUCCUACGGGAGAAAGCAGGGGAUCACUUGUGACCUUGCGCUAAUAGAUGAGCCUAAGUCGGAUUAGCUAGUUGGUGGGGUAAAGGCCUACCAAGGCGACGAUCUGUAGCGGGUCUGAGAGGAUGUUCCGCCACACUGGGACUGAGACACGGCCCAGACUCCUACGUGAGGCAGCAGUGGGGAAUAUUGGACAAUGGGGGGAACCCUGAUCCAGCCAUGGCGGGUGUGUGAAGAAGGCCUUAUGGUUGUAAAGCACUUUAAGCGAGGAGGAGGCUCUUUUGGUUAAUACCCAAGAUGAGUGGACGUUACUCGCAGAAUAAGCACCGGCUAACUCUGUGCCAGCCGCCGCCGUAA